CUAAAAUGCACAGGUCGUGAGUUCGAUGAGUAGGGCGGGACACGUGACAUCCUGUCUGAAUAUGGGGGGACCAUCCUCCAAGGCUAAAUACUCCUGACUGACCGAUAGUGAACCAGUACCGUGAGGGAAAGGCGAAAAGAACCCCGGCGAGGGGAGUGAAAUAGAACCUGAAACCGUGUACGUACAAGCAGUGGGAGCACCUUCGUGGUGUGACUGCGUACCUUUUGUAUAAUGGGUCAGCGACUUAUAUUUUGUAGCAAGGUUAACCGUAUAGGGGAGCCGUAGGGAAACCGAGUCUUAACUGGGCGAAUAGUUGCAAGGUAUAGACCCGAAACCCGGUGAUCUAGCCAUGGGCAGGUUGAAGGUUGGGUAACACUAACUGGAGGACCGAACCGACUAAUGUUGAAAAAUUAGCGGAUGACUUGUGGCUGGGGGUGAAAGGCCAAUCAAACCGGGAGAUAGCUGGUUCUCCCCGAAAGCUAUUUAGGUAGCGCCUCGUGAACUCAUCUUCGGGGGUAGAGCACUGUUUCGGCUAGGGGGCCAUCCCGGCUUACCAAACCGAUGCAAACUCCGAAUACCGAAGAAUGUUAUCACGGGAGACACACGGCGGGUGCUAACGUCCGUCGUGAAGAGGGAAACAACCCAGACCGCCAGCUAAGGUCCCAAAGUCAUGGUUAAGUGGGAAACGAUGUGGGAAGGCAUAGACAGCCAGGAUGUUGGCUUAGAAGCAGCCAUCAUUUAAAGAAAGCGUAAUAGCUCACUGGUCGAGUCGGCCUGCGCGGAAGAUGUAACGGGGCUAAACCAUGCACCGAAGCUGCGGCAGCGACGCUUAGGCGUUGUUGGGUAGGGGAGCGUUCUGUAAGCCGUUGAAGGUGGCCUGUGAGGGUUGCUGGAGGUAUCAGAAGUGCGAAUGCUGACAUAAGUAACGAUAAAGCGGGUGAAAAGCCCGCUCGCCGGAAGACCAAGGGUUCCUGUCCAACGUUAAUCGGGGCAGGGUGAGUCGACCCCUAAGGCGAGGCUGAAAAGCGUAGUCGAUGGGAAACAGGUUAAUAUUCCUGUACUUGGUGUUACUGCGAAGGGGGGACGGAGAAGGCUAGGCUAGCCGGGCGACGGUUGUCCCGGUUUAAGCGUGUAGGGGGUGUGACCUGGUAAAUCCGGUUGCAUAUCAACCCUGAGGCGUGAUGACGAUGCACUACGGUGCAGAAGUAGUUGAUGCCCUGCUUCCAGGAAAAGCCUCUAAGCUCUAGGUAACAUUAAAUCGUACCCCAAACCGACACAGGUGGUCAGGUAGAGAAUACCAAGGCGCUUGAGAGAACUCGGGUGAAGGAACUAGGCAAAAUGGUGCCGUAACUUCGGGAGAAGGCACGCUGGCAUGUAGGUGAAGUCCCUUGCGGAUGGAGCUGAAGCCAGUCGAAGAUACCAGCUGGCUGCAACUGUUUAAUAAAAACACAGCACUGUGCAAACACGAAAGUGGACGUAUACGGUGUGACGCCUGCCCGGUGCUGGAAGGUUAAUUGAUGGGGUCAGCCGCAAGGCGAAGCUCUUGAUCGAAGCCCCAGUAAACGGCGGCCGUAACUAUAACGGUCCUAAGGUAGCGAAAUUCCUUGUCGGGUAAGUUCCGACCUGCACGAAUGGCGUAAUGAUGGCCAGGCUGUCUCCACCCGAGACUCAGUGAAAUUGAACUCGCUGUGAAGAUGCAGUGUACCCGCGGCAAGACGGAAAGACCCCGUGAACCUUUACUAUAGCUUGACACUGAACAUUGAGCCUUGAUGUGUAGGAUAGGUGGGAGGCUUUGAAGCGUGGACGCCAGUCUGCGUGGAGCCAUCCUUGAAAUACCACCCUUUAAUGUUUGAUGUUCUAACUCGGCCCCAUAAUCUGGGGUGAGGACAGUGUCUGGUGGGUAGUUUGACUGGGGCGGUCUCCUCCCAAAGAGUAACGGAGGAGCACGAAGGUUAGCUAAUCACGGUCGGACAUCGUGAGGUUAGUGCAAAGGCAUAAGCUAGCUUGACUGCGAGAGUGACGGCUCGAGCAGGUACGAAAGUAGGUCUUAGUGAUCCGGUGGUUCUGAAUGGAAGGGCCAUCGCUCAACGGAUAAAAGGUACUCCGGGGAUAACAGGCUGAUACCGCCCAAGAGUUCAUAUCGACGGCGGUGUUUGGCACCUCGAUGUCGGCUCAUCACAUCCUGGGGCUGAAGUAGGUCCCAAGGGUAUGGCUGUUCGCCAUUUAAAGUGGUACGCGAGCUGGGUUUAGAACGUCGUGAGACAGUUCGGUCCCUAUCUGCCGUGGGCGUUGGAAGAUUGAGAGGGGUUGCUCCUAGUACGAGAGGACCGGAGUGAACGCACCACUGGUGUUCGGGUUGUCAUGCCAAUGGCAUUGCCCGGUAGCUAAGUGCGGAAAAGAUAAGCGCUGAAAGCAUCUAAGCGCGAAACUUGCCU
rnacentral:rRNA from 1 species